CGCUGGCGGCAGGCUUAACACAUGCAAGUCGAACGCCCCGCAAGGGGAGUGGCAGACGGGUGAGUAACGCGUGGGAACGUACCUUUCGCUUCGGAAUAUUCCCGGGAAACUGGGAGCAAUGCCGAAUACGCCGUAUUGGGAAAGAUUUAUCGGCGAAAGAUCGGCCCGCGUUAGAUUAGGUAGUUGGCGGUGUAAUGGACCACCAAGCCUACGAUCUAUAGCUGGUCUGAGAGGAUGAUCAGCCACACUGGGACUGAGACACGGCCCAGACUCCUACGGGAGGCAGCAGUGGGGAAUCUUGGACAAUGGGCGCAAGCCUGAUCCAGCCAUGCCGCGUGAGUGAAGAAGGCCUUAGGGUUGUAAAACUCUUUCGCCGGAGAAGAUAAUGACGGUAUCCGGAGAAGAAGCCCCGGCUAACUUCGUG
rnacentral:rRNA from 1 species